rnacentral:rRNA from 1 species
UACGGAGGGUGCGAGCGUUGUCCGGAAUCACUGGGCGUAAAGGGCGCGUAGGCGGCCGUGUAAGUCACUUGUGAAAUCCCGGGGCUCAACUCCGGGGCUGCAGGUGAGACUGCAUGGCUAGAGCUUGGUAGAGGCGAGUGGAAUUCCCGGUGUAGCGGUGGAAUGCGUAGAUAUCAGGAGGAACACCGGUGGCGAAGGCGGCUCUCUGGACGGUGACUGACGCUGAGACGCGAAAGCGUGGGGAGCAAACAGG